rnacentral:lncRNA from 1 species
CUUCCUGUAAAGAUAGGUCAUCCUGUUCUCCGUCUCACAGUCUCUUCCUUGCUCUUUAACCUCAGUCGAUAGUGUACUGUUUGCUUCUGUGCUGAAUCCUGCAAUGGAUUCAUUGUAAUGUGGUUGUUAGGGAAGUGGAAUAUGGCUGGAAAUGCACUGGGAACAACAUUCUCUCUUCUACUACUUCUUGCCUCUGUAAUUCAAGGAGAGCAGAAUGGUGAGGUGAUCCAUUAUGAAACGAUGGAAGCUGCAGUGGGCCAGAACAUUACCUUACCCUGCAUUGUAAAAAAACACACUGAUCUGAAGAUUGUCAGUAUUGAAUGGAGUAAGAAAAAGAAAGAAAAGGACAAUGAAAACAUCAAGUUGGCUGUCUACAGCAUAUCUCAUGGACAUUAUUACUUCUGGCCAAAUGUCACCGUCCUGACUGAGAAAAACAAUGCAAACACAUUGACCGGCACCCGUCUACAUCUGCCCAGCAUGACGAAAUGGGACAGUGGCAUUUAUGUGUGUGACAUAACAACUUUUCCUCUUGGCUCCAUUAGGGCUGAAACACAACUAGCAAUAAGAGAUGAUGACAUUGAAAUAAAUUGCAAUGUCAACAGCACCGUUAAGGUCCAUGAUGGAGAAAAUGUGACGAUUCACUGCAGACUGUUUCCGAAUACAUGGUACAGGUGGACAAAGGACAAGGAGCAGGUGUCUGAGAGUGAAUCUCUGGAGCUCUGGCGGGUCACAGAUGCCAAUGCAGGGGUUUAUACACUGACUGUCAACACAGGAAACAAAAGUCUGCAUAAAGACUUUAUCAUCGCGGUGCUAACAGCAACCACAAGCUUACCGACAGAUGGUGUCACAGUGUCUCCAGAGAGUUUGACAAAAUCAGCGGGCAGCAGAUUUAUUACAUCACCAACCUCUGGGUCUUUAACCCAUGUCGACAGGACCAUGAAUAGUACCAAUGAUCCAAAGACCAGUAAUGUUACCCUCACUUCUGCAGGGCUUAUAACCCCUUCUACAAAUGCUACGCACACCAACGUGUCUCCAUCCACUGCCACACACUCUGACCGCUAUCAUCCACUCAACUCUACUCCAUCUAGUUAUGGUAGUACAGUCUUCAAAGCAGCACAGGAAAUGGCCAGUGAUGACAAGAGGAAUGAGUCCAAGCUAUACACACUGCAACCAGAGGACAAUUCAUCACUAAAGCCAGAGGAACCCAGCACCCCAGGAAGCAUUUCACAAAGCCCUACUCUGACUGUUGGGACGACUGUGAACGUUACUGAAGAUAAAGAUACCAAGAGGAGUCAUAUGUUGCUGGUGUCAAUCGUUCUUGUACUCGUAUUGAUUGCUGUGGCUGGCUGCUUCUACAGAAGACACUUGAUCAAGAAGAGGAUGGACCUACCACCUUCGUUCAAACCCCCACCACCUCCAGUCAAGUAUACAGCUGCAAGACACAAUGAGGUCUACACAGGGCCAUACCCAAUAGCAAGGUGCAACUCAGAUGCAGAAUUUAUGAGAUAUGAAACAAUUGUUUAAGAUGUGACAUGCGUCUUAAACACCAGGUGCUAUAACUAUAAAAAAACAAGAUUUUCAAAUGAUUUUAACAACUGUGACAUGGCAAAACUUAACAAAAAGACAAAUUCAUAUUCAGAAAACCCUAGAAUCCACUGAUGUUUUGUCAGCUGAGAAAUUAGUACAAAUGGCACAGUUGUGUAAAGACGGGUUUUGGAGCAGCACGAUGUCGCCAUGCAAACACACGCACACCAAACCACAUUCUGCACUCAUUACAACAACAUGGAACCAGUUAAAAGUGUAUCGGUGGCAGUGCUAAGCUAGCUGCCUGCCAAAUGAUGUCAAAUGAUUAUUUGUUUUUUAAAAAAACAAUGAAAUAUCUUAAUCUUUGUAUUUGAUAAGUUGCCUUUAUGUCAUCUCUUUCUAUAUAUAUAUUUAUCACUCUAUAUCACCUCAAUUAUUUGACAAUUUACACAGCAUCCUAACUUCUUAC